CCUGCCACUAGAGGAGUUGCAGGUUUGACUGCUAUGUCACAUGUGCUUUAUUAGGAGGCAGAGAGGAGAGAGGCUAUGUCUACACUCAGUGUUCUAACCUGUAUACAUGUGAAUGGUUAGUAGCUUAAUGUG